rnacentral:pre_miRNA from 1 species
UAGACAUAUUAUUGUAUUUGAAUGUAUUCACGGCGUGAAAUAGAGGAUUAUAAUGUUUUUAAAAUGGAAAGUGAAUCAAUUAACAUAAUAGACUCCU